CUCUUGACCUCGGAUCAGGUAGGGAUACCCGCUGAACUUAAGCAUAUCAUA
rnacentral:rRNA from 1 species